GCUGAAAGCAUCUAAGCGCGAAGCCAACUUCAAGAUAAGAUUUCCCACCGCAAGGGUAAGACCCCAGAAAGACUAUCUGGUUGAUAGGUCGAAGGUGUAAGUGCAGCAAUGUAUUUAGCUUAUCGAUACUAAUAGGUCGAGGACUUGACCAAUAUUUAUUUGAUGUUCAUUCACU
rnacentral:rRNA from 1 species